AAAGGAAUAGACGGGGGCCCGCACAAGCAGUGGAGUAUGUGGUUUAAUUCGAAGCAACGCGAAGAACCUUACCGGGGCUUGACAUGGGGACGACAGGCGUAGAGAUACGCUCUUCUUCGGACGUCCCACACAGGUGGUGCAUGGUUGUCGUCAGCUCGUGUCGUGAGAUGUUGGGUUAAGUCCCGCAACGAGCGCAACCCUUAUCAUUAGUUGCUACAUUUGGUUGAGCACUCUAAUGAGACUGCCUCUGUAAGGAGGAGGAAGGUGGGGAUGACGUCAAAUCAUCAUGCCCUUUAUGUCCCGGGCUACACACGUACUACAAUGGCAUUUAACAAUGGGUAGCCAAGUCGCGAGACGGAGCCAAUCCCCAAAAAGUGCCUCAGUUCAGAUUGCAGGCUGCAACUCGCCUGCAUGAAGUCGGAAUUGCUAGUAAUCGUGAAUCAGCAUGUCACGGUGAAUACGUUCCCGGGCCUUGUACACACCGCCCGU
rnacentral:rRNA from 1 species